rnacentral:lncRNA from 1 species
AUGUUCUCUGUGGGCUUUGAGCACAGUGAGGGAAGAAAGAUUAGUGUGUGUUCCGUCAGGAGGAAGAAGAGGCGUGUGUGUGUGUGUGUUCCGUCAGGAGGAAGAAGAGGCGUGUGUGUGUGUGUGUGUUCCGUCAGGAGGAAGAAGAGGCGUGUGUGUGUGUGUUUCCGUCAGGAGGAAAGAAGAGGCGUGUGUGUGUGUGUUCCGUCAGGAGGAAGAAGAGGCGUGUGUGUGUGUGUUCCGUCAGGAGGAAGAAAGGGCGUGUGUGUGUGUUCCGUCAGGAGAAGAAGAGGCUUGUGUGUGUGUUCCGUCAGGAGGAAGAAGAGGCGUGUGUGUGUGUGUGUUCGUCAGGAGGAAGAAAGGGCGUGUGUGUGUGUGUUCCGUCAGGAGGAAGAAGAGGCGUGUUGUGUGUGUGUGUGUUCCGUCAGGAGGAAGAAGAGGCGUGUGUGUGUGUUCCGUCAGGAGGAAGAAGAGGCGUGUGUGUGUUUGUUCCGUCAGGAGGAAGAAGAGGCGGGUGUGUGUGUGUGUUCCGUCAGGAGAAGAAAGGCGUGGUGUGUGUGUGUUCCGUCAGGAGGAAGAAGAGGCGUGUGUGUGUGUGUGUGUUCCGUCAGGAGGAAGAAGAGGCGUGUGUGUGUGUGUUCCGUCAGGAGGAAGAAGAGGCGUGUGUGUGUGUG